UAUUUAUUGAGAAUCUAGUUCGCCAUCGUAGAAGAGCUGUUUGUUUGUGUUGCUAGUGGUUCGGGGGGAAGCCUUUAUGCGCAUGCUCGCCUCUUCUUCUUCUGGAUUUGUGUACCAGAAGCAGCGCCCCUUAUGGGCCUGGAAUGUUUACUACAGCGUUUCUACAGAUCUAUCCGGUUUCGCUUGGCUUCGUCUUUACGGAGAUACUUCGAAACCGGAUAGAUCGAAACCGUAACGGUUUCGCCCGUUUCGGCUUCGUGUGGACGGGGCCUAAGACCCAGUAGUCAUGUUUGUUUUUCUUAUUUUCUCUUCUUUUCUGAUAGAUUUCGAUUGGCAUCAUGUCAAGAACAAAGAAUGGGUUAAAACCUCAAAGAGGGAAAACCAUGCCGUUAAAUGUUGAACCCCAGUGGUCAACAACACAAAUCUUGCCAGCUGCUUUAAAGAAGCAGCGAGAUUCUAAUCAGAACGCAAUGGACGAUGGAGAAUAUGUACUUCUCUAUCCUGAUGGCUCUCAGGUACAAAAUAUACCUGGUACAGACAGACCUUUUGUUCUGGAGCAUUAUAAAGAGGCCAUUGGGAAAUCAUACCAAAGGAUUACGCUGUACAUCUGCUUUCUUCAGGAUUUGAGUUAUGGAGAUGACUCAUCUUCAGAACCGAUGAUUAUGAAGCAUUUGGUCGGCUUCCAAUAAAAAUGUCACCAAAUCAAUCUCUGCCAACAACAUCCAGGGCAUCUGGUGGGCAAGCCAAUGGAGCAGGAGCAGGACCCAAAAAGACCACAUCACCAAACACAUCAUGUGAAUUCUACAAUACAUAUAAAAAUGUAUAUGCAGCAGUUGUGAUUGACAGCAGUUCCUCAGAUGUUGAGGAAGUCGACCACUCUCAGGUGGAAGACAGGUACUUUGAUGCAAAUAAUGCUGUUGGCCUUGUUAUUUUUUUCUUUCCCUCAGAUGAAAUAUUAAUCGCC
ensembl:lncRNA